AUUGAACGCUGGCGGCAGGCCUAACACAUGCAAGUCGAACGAGUGGCGGACGGGUGAGUAAUGUCUGGGACACUGCCUGAUGGAGGGGGAUAACUACUGGAAACGGUAGCUAAUACCGCAUACCAUCAGAUGUUCCCAGAUGGUAUUAGCUUGUUGGUGGGGUAACGGCUCACCAAGGCGACGAUCCCUAGCUGGUCUGCGAGGAUGAUCAGUAACACGGGAACUGAGACACGGUCCAGACUCCUACGGGAGGCAGCAGUGGGGAAUAUUGGACAAUGGGCGAAAGCCUGAUCCAGCCAUGCCGCGUGUGUGAAGAAGGUCUUCGGAUUGUAAAGCACUUUAAGUUGGGAGGCGUUACCAACAGAAUAAGCACCGGCGAACUUCGUGCCAGCAGCCGCGGUAAUAC
rnacentral:rRNA from 1 species